CAAUGAACUUAAGAUUUAAAAAUAAGAAAAAUAAAUCUUUAUUGGAA
rnacentral:tRNA from 1 species